UCUCCUAGGCCAUACUCGUAUCCACAGACCCCAGAGCGAGGCCACAGGAAGCGAGGCAUCUUCCUCUCCAACAUCACCGUGGUGGCCACCACCUGAAAUGAGACUCUGCCAACAGCACCAUGUGGUAUCCUGAUGACCUCUGGACUCUGCCAGCAGGAAGUCCAGCAUCAGAUGAAGUUUUCAACCUGAUACUAAUAAACCUCCUCUCUUUACGAAGUUUUCAAGCCAUAGGAAUUUCAUGAAGUAAUAAAAACGGAUCAAUAUGGGUGAUUCCUAACGCAAACUCACCUAAGUUGCGGGGCUAAAAAUGCACUGAGAAAACACUCCACUCUACCCUCUUUAAAAAUAAACACCUUUCAACAAUGACUGGAAUUUUUGACAUUGCCUAGAAUUUUGGGAGUUGUCAACAACAAAAUCUCCUGCAGACUCAUGCUUCAUAGAAAACCGGCCUCAUUAGAUCAUUCACUCUUACCAGAUGGCUGAACUCAUUGCCUUGAAGAAAAUGC